AAUUAUCUAAGGAAUAAACGAUUAUUUUAAUUUUUCAAAAAAAUUCAUAAUUGAUAAUUUUAUACGAGCACAAAGCGCUUGUUUUAGCGGAAGUUAAGACACAUAUCUAUAUGCUUUUAGAUUCGGAGGCGUUUUGGUAAAGGCAAACUGGCAGUUGAAUGGUUUGUGUUCACAAUGUGUCAGUGAGAGACACUAAAAAUAUUGGCAUACAACUAAACGAAAUAAUCUGGCUGAUUACGACUGUGCAGACAAGAAAGAAAGAAAUACAGAACGUUGUAUUGUCUAUUAUAUUUGUCUGUUGUGAAGUCUUAUAUUACUUCUCAUACAACACGUAAUUUCUCUUUAAACUUUCUUGUUAUGUCGCUUUACAUCAUGGUCAAAGUUUCUACACGAAA